rnacentral:tRNA from 1 species
AAUUAUAUAGUCUAAGAAGGAUAUUAAAUUGCAAAUUUAAAGGUGAAUUAUAUUUUUAUAAUUU